GAUGAACGCUGGCGGCGUGCCUAAUACAUGCAAGUCGAGCGCAGCGGGGACGGGUGAGUAACACGUGGAAAACCUCCUUUAACAAUGGGAUAACUUCGGGAAACCCGAGCUAAACCGGCUACUUAUAGAUGGAUCUGCGCUGCAUUAGCUGUUUGGUAAGGUAACGGCUUACCAAGGCAACGAUGCAUAGCCGACCUGAGAGGGUGAUCGGCCACACUGGGACUGAGACACGGUCCAGACUCCUACGGGAGGCAGCAGUAGGGAAUCUUCGGCAAUGGGCGAAAGCCUGACGGAGCAACGCCGCGUGAGUGAUGAAGGUUUUCGGAUCGUAAAACUCUGUUAUUAGGGAAGCGGUACCUAAUCAGAAAGCCACGGCUAACUACGUGCCAGCAGCCGCGGUAAUAC
rnacentral:rRNA from 1 species